GCUUUGCUACGGUGGUGGGGAACCCCCGACGAGACGCGCCGUACCGGGUAGCCGUGGCUGUAGGACAAGACGACGCACC
rnacentral:ncRNA from 1 species